ACGGGACACCUGCAUCUGCCAACAAGACUGGAAGCAGAAAGGGACAGAGACGGCGAAGUUUGACGGUCUGGAAAGCAGAGACCAGCAGGGCUGACUGCUUGGGAGCACCAAAUAUCCGGACAGCGCCUCUCGGGAGGUCCGAGAAGAGAACCGCGAUCUGUUUCAGCACCGGGGCUCAGGACAGUUCCCAGCGGGCUCCGUUUCGUCUCCAGAACCCUGGACAGCUCCUCCAGCUUGGAAUGCACUCCCUCCACCUCCAACCAGAGCUCCCCACAACUGACCCUGCCUUCUUCUGCAAGCUCCAUUUCAUCAAGGGAAACGAUCCUUAUUGCCUCACCAUUUCCCACGUGAAGUCUGUAUUGACAUUCUCAUAGACCUGGGAUAUUGUGUCUGCAGCACAUAGUCCAAUUAUUUUCAUGUUAUCUACUGACAGGUCUAUUUGUCUCCCUGUUACACUGUGAGCUCCGUGAGGGCAGAAACAAUGUUAGUAUUUUCACUGCUGUGUCCCCAGCGCCUGGUCCGGGGCCCGGCACACAGCAGGCAUAUAAUAAGCAUGUGUUGAAUCAAUAAAGGCAUCAAAGAAUAAACCAAUACAUCAAUCAAUAAAUGAAUGAAUGGCCUCAGCACACA
rnacentral:lncRNA from 1 species